UACAGAGGUGGCAAGCGUUGUUCGGAAUUACUGGGCGUAAAGGGCGCGUAGGCGGUCUUUUAAGUUCCGUGUGAAAUCCCCGAGCUCAACUCGGGAACUGCGUUCGAUACUGGUGGGCUUGAAUCCGGGAGAGGGAUGCGGAAUUCCAGGUGUAGCGGUGAAAUGCGUAGAUAUCUGGAGGAACACCGGUGGCGAAGGCGGCAUCCUGGACCGGCAUUGACGCUGAGGCGCGAAAGCUAGGGGAGCAAACGGG
rnacentral:rRNA from 1 species